AUGGCCGCAAAUAGGUCCUAAGGAACAGAGAAAUAUAGUUGUGACCAGAGAUUUCAGAGUCUCCUCACCUAUUGCCUGCAGGCAGCUGCUUGGUCAAGGGAACAUCCUGUACACGCCUCCUGAGAGCAAGACACAACAUACAGGGUGGUACCGGUUCAAUCAAGAUGAUGUGCCUGCUGCCCACAGGGUGUGUUUGCUCACCCAACAGGCACGAUGGAUACAGAACGUCUUUGAAAUCCAUAAAACACCACAUAGAAUAUGAUUACUUUCAAAAUAAUCAGGGUUAGCAUCACCUGGCAAAAAAGGAUCUGACUAGACGGAGAUUGCGGGAGAAGAGCGUCCAGACGGAGC
rnacentral:lncRNA from 1 species